rnacentral:rRNA from 1 species
UACGGAGGGUGCAAACGUUGCUCGGAAUCAUUGGGCGUAAAGCGCACGUAGGCGGCCUGUUAAGUCGGGUGUGAAAGCCCUGGGCUCAACCCAGGAAGUGCACUCGAAACUGGCAGGCUUGAAUAUGGAAGAGGGUCGCGGAAUUCCCGGUGUAGCGGUGAAAUGCGCAGAUAUCAGGAAGAACACCUAUGGCGAAGGCAGCUCUCUGGGACGGUACUGACGCUGAGACGCGAAAGCGUGGGGAGCGAACAGG